rnacentral:ncRNA from 1 species
CAACACUUAACUGCUCUCAAACCAAGACCUAUAGGCAGUAUAAUACUUCGUCUUUUAUCCAGUAGUGAGGGAUUACUGGAAAUAAGUUUCGCA